AAAACUCAGGUAGCGAUCUCCUCUGCAUCAAUAUCAUGCAUGAAUAAAGUAAAUAAGAGAAAAAUAACAGAAUCCAAUAAACAAGAAAACUAAGAAAAAAUCAACUUUAUAAAGUGGAAAACUGUUACUGAAGAAGAAAAACUUAAAGGAUCAGUAUAUAGUAAUUUGUAAUCUCUGAGGUAAUUGGUAAUUUUAGUGCAGGGAUAAAAGAGCUUCUUUUUAAGAAUUGAGGUUUGAUAUGGCAUUCAUUUUCAGUUUUCAAUAUGCUCAAUCAAGUAAACACAUUUAGCUACGUAUUAAAGAAUGAACAUAAAUAACCUACACCAUGUUAACAACAAAAUCAGAUAUAUUAUCCAUGCCUAUGCCAUGUUUACAACAAAAUCAGAUAUACUAUCCAUGUACUACAUUUAUUCUCCAAUAACAAUGCAUAGAUAAUACAAUGGCAUCAACAUCUAUUACGUUAGAAGCCGGGAACAAAGAUAUUCUGUCUUCAGAACAAAUGUCAGACAACCUAAACUUGCCUUGCAAUGCUGUUGAAACAUAGG
rnacentral:misc_RNA from 1 species